rnacentral:tRNA from 2 species
GUCCCCAUCGUCUAGUGGCCCAGGACCCCGGCUUUUCACGCCGGUAACCGGAGUUCAAACCUCCGUGGGGACGCCA